rnacentral:lncRNA from 1 species
UUAGACUAGCAUCUUAACAACAUCUUAGACUAGCAUCUUAGCAUAUGCUUGGCUGGCUAGCAGCCUAUAAAUGUGUAUCCCAAACCCCUCAGGUGGGCAUGGCAUUGUGUGAGAAAUAAACCAACGAAAAUUGUCCCAACUCUCCUAGUGUCAUCCACAACUAUCAAUGCUCAGGCUGAAAGGUCUAACAGUUGUCGCUACCUCCUUGCGACCUAUACGCGUCAUCGUCGGUGUCGGCACCAUAAUGAUCACAACCAUGGUGGUCACCUUGGUUGGGCAUCUUGCCAACCACCUAGACAUCCUCCCCUGCAUCAUCAUCAGUUGGAAAUUCAACCGUGAAUAUGUUGCCGUUUGGAGCAUCGUCGGCUGCGGCGCUCCAAUUCCACGCUUGGUUUCUUCAAACACGACGUCGCGUGAAAUCUGUAGACGCUUGGUUUGUGGAUCGCAGAAGCGGUAUGCCUUGGUGCCGGAACUCCUCUCGUAGCCGAUGAACACCAUCUUGGUGCUACGAUCGGCAAGCUUAGAGGGAUGCGGCUCCGCCGUCUGUCUUCACAUGUGCCAUGCACCCGAACGUCCGUAGAUGAGACACAUUCGGCUUACGUCCGUAAAUUGCUUCAUACGGAGUCUUGCCGCUCACCGCCUUCGUUGGAGCCUGAUUGAGAAGAUAGACCGCCGUCGAGACAACUUCUCCCCAAAAGAUCCCCGGCAGAUUCUUGCUCUUGAGUAAACUCCUUGCCAUGUCAACGACGGUUCGAUUGCGCCUUUCAACGACCCCGUUCUGCUGCGGCGUGUAAGGUGCUGUGAGGAACCUUUUUAUGCCAAUGUUCUCGCAGUACUCGUUGAACUCGUUCGACGUAAACUCUCCACCGCGAUCUGUCCGUAGAGCGCGAACCUUCAACUUGUGUUCCAUCUACGUUGGCAGCCUUCAGCUUCUUGAACGCUUCAAACGCCUCAUCUUUAGAUCGUAGGAGAACCCACAUAUAUCUCGAGUAAUCGUCUACCACAAGGAAGAAAUACUUCUUUCCAGUGUGAGUUGCCGGGGUGAUAGGGCCACAUAGAUCACCAUGGAGCAGCUAGAGUGCAUCUUUUGCACGAUAGGUAGACUGAGCAGGAAACGGCCUGCGGUGCUGUUUUCCAACCAAGCGCCCGUCACAUACUCGAUCAACAUGGUCGAUAAAUGGCAUCCCGGAUACCAUCUCCAUCUUUGACAUCUUCAAGGCGUAGAAGUUAACGUGUCCAAAUCUAGCAUGCCAUAACCACGAAUCAUCAUCACUCUUGGCGAGCCAACACUCCGGUUGAGAUUGAUCAAGGUUGAGGAUAUAAAGCCUGUUCCGUGUGCGACUAACACGAGCUAGCACGUUUCAGAGGUUGUCGAAGAUCGUCAUCACUCCGUUCUCGAUAUCCACCUUGCAUCCAUUCUCGUCAAGCUUCCCAAUAGAGAUGAUGUUGUUGCCAAGCCGUGGGAUGUAGUACACUCCGGUGAGUAUGCGAUGUUCGCCUGUGAGACCCUCGAAGAGGACAGAUCCUUGCCCACAAGUCUCCACAUUUGAACCAUCACCAAAGUUUACCGAGCCUUCAACAUCAUAUUCCAGCUCAAGAAAUUUCUCCUUGCAUCCCGUCAUGUGGUUACUAGCACCCGUGUCGAGAUACCACGACACGUUGUGAUCCCCGGAUAACUUAGGUGCCACAUUCUUCUCAUGAAGUAGCACCUUCCGGCUUGGUUUCACAACCACCGUUUCAGCGAGAUCACAAACUUCAGCCAUUAGAAGACCUGGACCUUCGUCUUCCUGCUUUGCCAAAUUUGCCUUGAUCUCCCGCUUGUCAAGCUCCGGACAAUUCUUUGCAAAGUGACCCAUCUCGUUGCAGUUAUAGCACUUGACCUCAGACAUAUCCAAGUUCCAUUGCUUCCGCCCUUUAGAUCGGUCUGCCUUACCACGACCUUGUGGCUUGCCUUUUCCUUUGGCUUCUCCGGUUUGUCUGCCGCGCGUUCCGUUGCUUGAGCCUUCGUUGCCAUCACGCCUUCCUUUGCUACUUGGGGACUCCCAAUCUGCACGCGAGUACAUGAGUUGGUCACUACCUCCUCUGUUGCCUUUCCGACAACCACGAGCAUUUUCUUCCCAUGUACGCAAGCGUCUGAUAGCCUCCGUUAUGGUCAUGUCGUCGAUGUCGUAAAGCUGCUCGAGCGUGCCGAUGAUGUACGUGAAUUUAUCAGUCACCGAACUGAAAAAUUUCUCCACAAUCUCGGUCUCAUCGAGCUUUGCACCAAGCGCGCGGAUCUCUUCCACCAAAGUAGUAAGACGCAUGGCAUAGCGUUCACCGAUUCAGUUUCCUCCAUCUGCAACUUGUGAAAUUGGCGCUUCAGCACUUGUUCCCGAGCCUUGGUGACGCGAUCUUCUCCGAUCCACAUCUCCUUGAGUGCGUUCCACGCCUCUCUUGCCGUCUCGAACUCCGCCAAUGUCAUUAGCACGGAAUCCGGCACGGACUGGGCUAUGGCGGCCAUGGCACCUUCGUCGCGCUCCUCGUCGACGUCGUCAUACGUGAUGGCCUCCCACACUCGAAGGGACCGGAGAAUAAUCUUCAUCUUCACCGCCCACACGCUGUAGUUGGCGUCGUUGAGCAUCGGGUACUUGAUGGGGAUGUUGCGAUGCGCCUGGACGUUGGCGCCACUCGUUCCCCCACCACUGGUUGCUGACUUGCCGUCCUUCUUCACCUUGUCGCCGUUCUUGUUCGCCUUGACACCGCUAUUGCCGGACUUGACCGACUCAGCGUCGCUGUCCGUCAUCGUAGAUCGUGUAUCGUCGAGGCUCUAGAUACCAAUUGUUGGCUUUUGAUCGCUGGAUCAAAUCUCCCAGAGCUACAACGUGAGUGUACUUGCAAGCUAGCAAGCACACAAGCAGCUGGAUGGAUUCCAGUUGCACUUCUUGCAUACGUCAGUAGCCUGGGCAAGCUAGCAGGACCGAUUCGAUCGAUCGUCGUCGAUGGAUCGUAACUUGGCAAACAAAAGAAACAGAACGGAGGAAAUAUUUGGUGAUUGCCAAAGGCUCUUGACGUGCCUUGUUUGCUUUAUUGCUUGCCUGUAUUCUGGUUGUAUUACAAGGUUGGGGUACACGCAUAUAUAUAUAUAUAUGCAUACGAUGUACUACUAGCUAUCCGACUCGACGUACUACACGUCUACAGCUAAUACUACUANNNNNNNNNNNNNNNNNNNNNNNNNNNNNNNNNNNNNNNNNNNNNNNNNNNNNNNNNNNNNNNNNNNNNNNNNNNNNNNNNNNNNNNNNNNNNNNNNNNNCGGCCGCCCUGCACCCUCCUCCACCGCCGCCCUGCGCCCCCUCCUCCUCCCCGACCGCCCUGCACCCUCCUCCACCGCCGCCCUGCGCCCCCUCCUACACCCUGACACCCCUCUCUCUCACCCCCGACACCACCGCCGCCGCCGCGCCCUCCUCCGGCCUCCCUGCCCCACCGCCGCCGCCGCCGACGCCACCCCACCCCAACGCCCCGCCCCACCAUCGCCGCCCUCCUCGCGCCCCUCACCGUGCCCCUCCUCCCCCUGCUGCCCUCCUCCCCCUGCGGCCUCUCCUCCCCCUCCCCCUGCGGCCCUCCUCCCCCCGGUUAGUUUUCUUUCUUCUUUUUUUAAUAGUUUUUGUUUAAUUAGUUAUAUGUUUUACUGAGGUUUUGGCUUAGUUUUAGUUUAGUUUAGGUUCAGUUUUAGUUUAGGUUUAGUUAGGUUAGUUUCCUGUUUAAUAAAGGAGAAAAGGAGAAAAGGAGAAGAAGAAGGAGAAAGGAGAAGAAGAAGAAGGAGAAAGGAGAAGAAGAAGAAGGAGAAAGAAGAAGAAGAAGAAGAAGAAGGAGAAAGGAGAAGAAGAAGAAGGAGAAAGGAGAAGAAAAAAUAAGAAGAAGAAGGAAAAGAAGAAGAAGGAAAAGGAAGGGAAGGAGAAGAAAGAAGAAGAAAAAUAGGAGAGGAAGAGAAGAAUAAGAGGAAAAAAUAAAAUAAUAAUAAUAAGAAGAAGAAGAAGAGAAGAAGAAAACAAGAAGAAUGAGAAGAAGAAUAAGAGGAAAAAAGAAAAAAUAAAAUAAUAAUAAUAAUAAUAAGAAGAAUAAGAAGAAGAAGAAGAAGAAGAAGAAGAAGAAGAAGAAGAGAAAAAGAAAAGAAGAAGAAGAAGAGGAGGAGGAUUCUGUUUUUGUUAUUUUUUUUGCUGUUUAGUGCUAUCUAGGUUUAGCGAUAGGUUUAGUUAGGUUAGUUAGUUAGUUAGCUUAAUAGAAAGAAUAGGAAGAAGAAGAAGAGGAGGAGGAGGAGAAGAGGAGGAGGAGGAGGAGAAGAAGAACAAGAACAAGAAGAAGAAUAGGAGGAGGAGAAGACAAAAAUAAGAAGGAUAAGCAGAAAAGAAGAAGAAAAGAAGAGAAGAAGAAGAGAAGAAGAGAAGAAGAAUACCUUCUCCUCCUCCUUCUUCUCCUCCUUCUUCUCCUCCUCCUCCUUCUCCUUCUUCUUGAUUUCUUCUUCUUCUUCUCCUCCUCCUCUUUCUUCUCCUCUAUCUUAUUCUCCUGACCUUAUUUUCCCCAACAAUGAGAUAAUUAGCCCAUUUAGCUACAAAAUGGCAUAAAAACCUUGGUUAGAUCAUGAAUAUUAUAUUCCUAACUUGUUUUCCUCUAAAAUGACAUAAUUAGAAUAUUUGUGUUGAUCGGGUGGAUUUACAUGUGAUAGUUGUCUCGUCGCUAUGAGGUCUGGUGUGCGAAGACCUGCCCGUGCGUUGUACGAGCUCUGCCCCUGCAUUUGUGGGUCAGUACAAAUUUCAUCUCCUCCUCGCCCCUUCAUUUACUAUGGCUCGGUUUUCGGAUGAAACUUUCUAGAUUUAGGUAAUUCAAUUAAUUUAUCAGUAUGCGUGACCAGUAUGCGUCUCCCGUUCGAAAGGGCGACAUCUAUAAAUCUGCAUGUCUUUGCAUAUUUAUAACCGCCAUCCUUUCGAAUUGUCCAACAUUAUCCAUGGACAGCCCGAGUAUGUGUAGAUUGGGUUCGUUUUCCCGUAUGUUGUGCUCUGGAUCCGAUGCGGAAUUUUGUCAGUGCCUCCCUGUUGUUCUCUGGAUGCACAUCCUCUCUGUUCAUUGUGGACACAUGUAUCACGAGAACAGCGGGGAGGUGCUGCCGAAAUUUUGCGUUGGAUCCGGAGCAGAGCAUGGGAAAUCGAACCCAAUCUACACAUACUCGGGUGGGAUUAGGACCUAUCUUUACCCAUUAGCGUGUAGAUUGCCUGGACGUAAUAAAAAUGGCGAACCUGAUUAACCGAUGAAUAUAAAUGCUAAAUUAUAUAUAAAUAUAUUUCUUCUGUCUUGAGUAGCUACGCAAGAUGAGUGAUCGUGCGUGGAUGUAUACCGGUCACCCUAGUCAGAAAGAGAUGACAAAAUAAUGGUUUGUAAAAACAAAGGAAUUUGUGAAAGCCGCAUUCGCAAAUGGCCAGGAAAAAAACUAUUGCCCGUGUCCUGGAUGCGACAACUAUAAAAAGACGACAGAGGCUGUAAUGAUUAAACAUCUGCAGAGGAGGGGUUUUAAGCCUAAUUAUACGGUGUGGACAUUUCAUGGUGAGUCUAUACAACGCACAAGAGCUGAGGUGGUCCGUCUCGCACGGACGAGCAUGGUACCGGGAUCGAAGACAUGGUGCAAGACUUUGAUGAUGCUCGGGAUUCGGAAGAUGAGAUGGAGGAAUCUGCAAAGGCCUUUUAUGAAAUGUUGGAUUCUUCAAAACGUCCUCUCCAUGAGCACACCGAGCUCUGUCAGCUGGAUGCAAUUGCACAAGUAAUGGCUCUGAAGGCUCAGUUCAACUUGGGAAGAGAAUGCUACGACGCGAUGAUGACAAUAUUUGGACGUUUCCUACCCAAAGGCCAUGUCAUGCCUGCAAACCUGUACCAGUCGGACAAAAUACUUCGAGUACUUAAGAUGCCCUAUGAGAAGAUAGAUGCAUGUGAGAAAGGAUGUGUCUUAUUUAGGAAGGAGUAUGCACACUUGGACUAUUGUCCCAACUGCGAGUCUUGCACGUAUCUUGUGGUAGACAACGGUAUGGGUGAGAAGAGGCAGACCAAAAUCGCAGUUAGUGUUCUUUGGUAUAUGCCAAUCGUACCAAGACUUCAACGUAUUUUCAUGGUCGAAGAGACAGCCAGACAGAUGACAUGGCACAAAUUGGGCAAAAGAACCAAACUAGAUGCGGAUGGGAAUAAGAUGAUGGUGCACACAUCGGAUGGGGAAGCGUGGAAACAUUUCGAUGGAUUGCAUCAGGAUAAAGCGGCAGAUCCAAGGAAUCCUCGAGUCUGCGCCGCCACGGAUGGUUUUAAUCCCUUCGGCAUGACGGCAACCCAAUACAGUUGUUGGCCUGUAUUUGUCAUUCCACUCAAUCUCCCCCCGAGGCAGAUUAUGCAAAGAAAGAACAUAUUUCUGACGUUGAUAAUUCCAGGGCCCAAUUAUCCGGGGAAGAAUAUGAAUGUGUACCUGCAACCGCUUAAGGAUGAAUUGGAAGAAGCUUGGGAUAAUGGGGUCAAGACAUACGAUGCCGCUAGAAAAGAAAACUUCAAAAUGCAUGUGUGGUACAUGUACUCUAUGCAUGACUUGCCAGCGUAUGCGCUAUUCUCUGGAUGGUGUAUGCAUGGAAGGUUCCCGUGCCCCCAAUGCAAGGCAGCUCUUCAGUUUCAUUGGUUGCAGGAGGGUCGGAAGUAUUCUUGCUUUGACUUGCAUAGACAGUUCCUGGAUCCUGACCAUCAGUUCAGAAAAGACAAGAAGAACUUUACCAAAGGUAAAGUUGUCAAAAACUUGGCACCACCUGCGUUCACAGGCCAACAGAUCCUGGAUCAGUUAAACGCCCUCGAGCCUGAUCCAGAGCAUCCAGGGUAUUUCAAGGGGUAUAAUUCAAAACACGCCUGGACUCACAAGCCAUGCUUCUGGGAUCUGCCUUACUUCAAAGACCUCCUUCUUCCACACAAUAUCGACAUGAUGCACACUAAAAAGAAUAUCGGAGAGGCUAUUUUUGGUACAUUGUUCGACAUAGAUGGGAAGACAAAGGAUAAUAUUAAGGCUAGAGUCGAUCAAGAGACACUAUGUCAUAGACCGUUACAAAACAUGCGAGAAGGCAAAGGAAAGCAGAAGUGGUCGAAGCCAAAGGCCUGGUUCAAUCUUGGAAGGCCAGCUAUGAGGGAAAUUAUCUUGUGGGUCAAAAUGCACUUGAUUUUCCCCGAUGGGUAUGCAGCGAAUCUAAAGAGGGGAGCGAGUCUUGAAAAAUUAAAAAUCUUUGGUCUCAAGAGUCAUGAUUGGCACAUAUGGCUAGAGCGGGUAAUACCGGUGAUGUUACGUGGCUUUAUUCUUGAGGAUGAAUGGCUAGUACUGGCGGAGCUGAGCUAUUUCUUCCGUGUUCUUUGUGCGAAAGAAUUGUCGCCUGGCGUGGUAGAAGACAUGGAGGAAUUUGCACCGGAGUUGUUGUGCAAGUUAGAGAAGAUCUUUCCAUCGGGCUUCUUUAAUCCAAUGCAGCAUUUGAUUUUACAUCUACCGACCGAGGCAAGAUUGGGUGGGCCCGUGCAAGAUCAUUGGUGCUAUGCAACUGAGAGGAUGCAGAAGACCCUUCGAGCUAAAUGUAAAAAUAAGCGUAGAAUUGAAGCAUCGAUGGCUGAGGCAUUCAUUACUGAGGAGGUGGAAAACUUUGUGACAGUACACUACGAAGCCAAAAAUCAUCAUUUGCAUAAUCCGAAGCCUCGGCACAAUGAUGCAGACCCUAAAAAAGGUGGGUCCAACCUCAGCCUAUUCAAAGGAAAGCUCGCACCAGCUGGUGCUUCGAAACCAAUAACGUUGGAUGUCAAAGAAUGGCGGAACAUUACGUUGUAUAUCUUCAACAACCUAACAGAAGUGCGGUCGUACAUCGAGUGAGUUCUCGGCACAUUUUCCCGUAACUUCUAAUUCAUUUAAACUGCUCUUGUUCCCGGAUAUUUCAAACAGCCGUUACAUCGUCAAAUUCUCGGAUGGAGCGGUGAUCGAAAAUGAUUCCGUCGAAGAGUAUGAGCUUCUGUCAAAGACAGGAGGCGGCUAUCCCGGUUUCAUCUCUUGGUUCAAACAAACGGUAAUUAUCAAUAAUGGACCAUUUCACUCUUGGUCUAACUUGCGGCUAAUGCAACAACCGUUUCGUAUUAAACUUGUAGGCUAAUUCAGAGUCUAUGGACGCCGAAUUGAGACAAGUCGCUAAUGGUUUUGACUAUAAGGUCCGUUCAUUUGAGAAAUACAACAUCAACGGGUAUCUCUUUCGUACCUUUGGCAAAGAGCUAUCUAUGCCCGACCGGAAAUCUACAAAUUGUGGUGUCUCUGCUAUCGGCGAAGGUGUUAUCAAGUAUUAUGGAAGAGUUGAAGCAAUUUAUGAACUUCAAUUCUGUGGUGAAAACCCACCGAACGUCGUAGUCUUCAAAUGUUAUUGGUUCCAACCGAAAAAGACUAGAAGGACUCAUGAACAUAUAGGACUAGUCGAAAUCAAUCCAAACACCCAUUUAGAUGUUCCCGAUGUCUAUAUUACGGCUCAACAGGCGACCCAAGUUUUCUAUCUACCAUGCGCAUGCCAAACGGAUAAGAAUCUAGAAGGUUGGUAUGUUGUUUAUGAAGUGCCGCCACAUGUUAGACCACCUCUCCCAAAUGAACAGGAUUAUGAACCUCACAUUAACCCAGACACAUAUGAUGGAGAAUUUUUCCAAGAAACACGUCUUUCCAAGAAACGUUUCAAGAACCGCCGUGCUUCACCCAAGAACAUGGAAGUAGACAGCGACAAUGAAUCCUCCAGCCCUGAGCCGGAACCAGAAGACCUGGAACUCGUAGAGGUUACUGAUGCGGAUGACCUGUCAAUGCUUCAACGAUUAAAGGAAGGCCUUUCACAACUUCAUGCCAUUGAACCCGACGAGCACGUCAUUCAUGAAGACAUGCGUGAUAGUGAUGAUGAUGAUGCAUUUAUGGAUGAUGAUUAUUAGUUUGUAAGAUUCACAACUUAAAUUAUAUAUAUUUUAAUCUUUAUUAUUCAUGUACAUAUUAUUAUUCAUGUCAGUUAUUCAUUUUUUUAAUGUUGUACUAAUUUAUUUUAAUCUUUAUCAUGGCAGGUCACCAGGUGUGGAAAGAUGGUGGGCGCUGGUCCAGAUCGCUCGACGGGUUCUUCCGAGGCGCCCCGCACGAGGGGUGGUACUUCCCUUCCACCCCUAUCUCUCCGUAGAGCCUUGGCAGACAGUUUGUCGACACCACCCGUGGGUUCUUCUUCGUCGGCGGCAUUGCCCACUGGGAGAGGUGCUGGUCGGGUAGGGAAGAAGGGGAAGGGUACAGGGAGAGGUGGUGGCCGCGGAAGAUCCAGGAGGACUAUUGAGCCGUCCCCGCCACCACCACCAGCUCAUUCACCCGAGCAUAGGACUAGUAUGGUCGACCCGUUUGCGGAGGAGGCUACGGGGACUCCAUUCCAGGAGCCUGUUGUUGACGGGCAUUCAUCCCAUGAGACUCCGGUCCAGGAGCAGCCUCGGGUCGAGGUGCAUUCGGCCCAGGAGCAGCUGGAGGAGACUACGGUUCCGGAGGCUUCACCCGACGUGGAGAGGCCCAGAUGGGAGACCUGGCCGAAUCGUACCGAGUUGCCGGAUUGGACCGAGGGUCCGGGUGGCUCAGGGGGCGGGGAUGGCGGGGAUGAGAUUACGGAUAGUGAGGGCGAUGUGCAGGUGGACGGGGCCACCGUGUACAAGCGUGGUAGUACACGUCUCCUGGUCGCGUCGGCUACCCGCGAGCAGAGGCCGGUGAUUAAACCUGAAGGAGAUAGGUAAGUACAUUUACUCUUUUUUUAGUUUUUUCCUUCAAGUUUGUUCAAAUAUCUAAUGCGUUGACCUUAUCAUACUGCAGGGGAUGGGUACACCCUCUUGGAGUCCGCAGGCCGAACUCCAUCCUUGGUGUGCUUUGCGGGACAAAUUUCCCGGGGUUUGUCACGUUGCCUGGUGAGGGUCAGGUUCCUACACUAGGAUUUUCCUGGGAGCACUACCAGGCUGCGCAGGCCACGCCGGAGGAGAUUAUAGAUGGUGUCUUGUGCCACACAAGGGCCGAGAUGGUGAUCAAGAGCUUUUGGGUAAAUUAUCCUUUUACAGAGUCUAAAAUUAACAAUAUAGCUAAUUAUUGUACUAAUCGGUGUUUUCACGUUUGAUUGCAGACCUUCUAUAGGUGUGAGGAUGGAUAUGAAGAGGAGGCGGCCANNNNNNNNNNCGCCACGAGGCUCGGCUGCAGGCUAUUCGAGAUUACUACGCCACGCGUGGUAUUAAGAAGCAGAAGAAGGAUUGCCGUGGAAAGUUUCUGAAGGAGCAAUACAUGAAGGUAAUUACCUAUUCUUAAGUCCUUCUACGUAGUUUUCUUGAUUUCAUUCAUAGGCGUAGCGCUGAAAAUUCUUUCUAAUAACUUAUAGGUGCCCCCGAGAUGGUGUGCGGAUAAGAUGGAUUGUUGGGAGGCGUUGGUUGAUGAGUGGUCCACAGGCAGCUGGCGAGCCGUCCACGAGAAUGCGAAGGAUCGACGUAGGGAAAUGGUUGGUGUGCCACAUCAUCAAGGCAACGCCAACUUACUUUAGUUUGGACGAAACUGGGUAUGUGAUUUGCUUCAUGAUUCAUGCAAUUCAUUCUUGAUGCUAAUAUUUUGUUCCUCUCUUUUAGGCGCAUCACAAUAAGACGGAGAUGCCACACUUGUACGACCUUUAUGGCAUGGCCCAUACUGCCUCGUACAAGAAGGCGAAGGCCUUCUCUGAGUCUGACCUGGAUGAUCCCAAUAACUUCACCAACAUAUCAUCCCACCAGAAGCUCGUGGCAUACAGGGACGCGGGGAAGGCUACGAAAGGGGAUGACUUUAACCCUAGUCAGGAACCUUUGGAUCCAGAGCUGGUGAUGAUAUCUGGUGGCGGGAGGCCCCAUGGCUCGAUAGCCAUUUGAGAUGGGAUAAUACGUUGUCCACUCACUCUUCCGGAGAUCAAGGCGCGCCAGUCGAGCAGCUGUCCUUAGAUAACGCGUCGUCCACGGCCAGUCGAACUUGCCAUCGAGGUUAGUUGUACGGACUAAGAACACUUUCAUCCAUUUCAUUAUGUGUGUCACCAUAGAUCAUUACUGUGGUAACGAGGAAUGGUGUUUCAGGCUGCUCUUCAGAAAGAGAGAGCGGCAAACCAGGCUGCUCUUGAGAAAGAGAGAUUGGCAAGCCAGGGUGCUCUUCAGGCUGCUCUUGAUGAGAGGGACCAGACCACGACACGAUUGAUUGAGGAGAGGGCCCGGAAUGAGGUGGGUCAACGGGCCCUGUACGAGCUUUUUGUGGUAUGUUUUUUUUCACAUUAGCCAAAUCAUGUGGGUAAUGUCUGUUUUAUUACUAACUAAUACGACCCACUCUUCAGGGUCUGUGCGAUAAGAGCGGUCAAGUCCCUCCGUCGAUGCCCGUCUUCUCUUCGAUUGGCACGGUGAGUUUCAUUAUAAACUAGUAUUAAUAAUUGAGUGUCAUCAUGCUAACUGAGACAUUGCAAAAUAUAUUUUGUGCAGAAUAAUUCCCGAGCGGCAUCGCACGACCCUUCUCCAGGGCAACCGUCUCCAAACGAAGCCGCCGCGAGCAACCGUGGUGUUUCUCCUCCUUGAUGACCACUACGGUAAGUUUCUCUUCUCCUCUUUCAUAUUAUCCUUGCUUUAAUUUCCCCAAAAAGACAUAAUUAGCCCAUUUAGCUCCGAAAUGCCAUAAUAACCUCAAAAUGGCAUAAGAACCUUGGUUGGCUCAUGAAUAUUAUAUACUUAGCUUGUUUUCCUCUAAAAAAUGAGAUAAUUAGCCCAUUUAGCUCCAAAAAGACAUAAUUAGGUAAUUUAGCUCCAAGAAGAGGAGAAGAGGAGAAGAAAUAGGAAAAAUGAAAAGAAAGAAGAAGAAGAAUAGAAGAAGGAGAAGGAGGAGGAGGAGGAGGAGAAGGAGGAGAAGGCCAAGGACCUUCUAGUCCUUCUCCUCCUUCUCCUCCUUCUUCUUGAUUUCUUCAUAUUCUCCUCCUCCUCCUCUUUCUUAUCCUCUUUCAUAUUAUCCUUGCUUUAAUUUCCCCAAAAAGACAUAAUUAGCCCAUUUAGCUCCGAAAUGCCAUAAUAACCUCAAAAUGGCAUAAGAACNNNNNNNNNNNNNNNNNNNNNNNNNNNNNNNNNNNNNNNNNNNNNNNNNNNNNNNNNNNNNNNNNNNNNNNNNNNNNNNNNNNNNNNNNNNNNNNNNNNNUCCUCCUUCUCCUCCUUCUUCUUGAUUUCUUCUUCUUCUCCUCCUCCUACUCUUUCUUCUCCUAUUUCAUAUUAUCCUUGCUUUAAUUUCCCCAAAAAUACAUAAUUAGCCCAUUUAGCUCCAAAAUGCCAUAAUAACCUCAAAAUGGCAUAAGAACCUUGGUUAGCUCAUGAAUAUUAUAUACUUAGCUUGUUUUCCUCUAAAAUGAGAUAAUUAGCCCAUUUAGCUCCAAAAAGACAUAAUUAGGUAAUUUAGCUCCAAGAAGAGAAGAAGAGGAGAAGAGGAGAAGAAAUAGGAAAAAUGAAAAGAAAGAAGAAGAAGAAUAGAAGAAGGAGAAGGAGGAGGAGGAGGAGGAGGAGAAGGCCAAUGAGGAGGAGAAGGCCCUUGGCCUUCUCCUCCUCCUCCUCCUCCUCCUUCUCCUCCUUCUUCUUGAUUUNNNNNNNNNNUACAUAAUUAGGUAAUUUAGCUCCAAGAAGAGGAGAAGAAAUAGGAAAAAUGAAAGGAAAGAAAGAAGAAGAAGAAGAGAAGAAGGAGAAGGAGGAGGAGGAUGAGGAGGAGGAGGAGAAGGAGGAGAAGGCCAAGGACCUUCUAGUCCUUCUCCUCCUCCUCCUUCUCCUCCUUCUUAUUGAUUUCUUCUUCUUCUCCUCCUCCUCCUCUUUAUUCUGCUCUUUCAUAUUAUCCUUGCUUUAAUUUCCCCAACUAUGACAUAAUUAGCCCAUUUAGCUCCAAAAUGCCAUAAUAAGCUCAAAAUGGCAUAAAAACCUUGGUUAGCUCAUGCAUAUUAUAUACUUAGCUUGUUUUCCUCUAAAAUGGGAUAAUUAGCCCAUUUAGCUCCAAAAAGACAUAAUUAGGUAAUUUAUCUCCAACAAGAGGAGAAGAGGAGAAGAAAUAGGAAAAAUGAAAAGACAGAAGAAGAACAAGAAGAAGAAGAAGAAGAGAAGAAGGAGAAUAAGGAGGAGGAUGAGGAGAAGGCCAAGGACCUUCUAGUCCUUCUCCUCCUCCUCCUUCUCNNNNNNNNNNNNNNNNNNNNNNNNNNNNNNNNNNNNNNNNNNNNNNNNNNNNNNNNNNNNNNNNNNNNNNNNNNNNNNNNNNNNNNNNNNNNNNNNNNNNAGUUACACCAUAUCGGAGAAGUUUGCACUUAUUAAGGAUUAUAUUGAUGGGUUACAUUUUACCACUACAUAUGAUGAUUUUGAUGGAUAUAAUAUGCAUGUGAUUGCUACUCCUACUUGCAACUAUUAUGAGAGAGGAACCACAUCUUCACCUGUCUAUGUUUCCAACACGAGAAUAUUGCAAGAAAGUACUUAUGCUAUGUGUUGGCCUUUACUUUGUGUGAAUCAAUUGUUCUUUUAUGACUUGUCAAUGCAUAGGAAGAGAGUUAGACUUUGUUGUCACAUGAUGUAUAUCACUUUGUGCUCACUACUAAAUUACAAAUUAUUUUUGAUUAAAAUUGGCUUUGAUAUACCUUGGGAUCUGGCUGGAUCAAUUACUUGAGCACUACAUGCCUAGCUUAAUGGCUUUAAAGAAAGCGCUGCCAGGGAGAUGACCUGGAAGUUUUAGAGAGUCAUUUAUUACUAUUGUGUCCUUUUAAAAUAAUUGAAAUAAAGUGGGGAACCUAAAACUUUUUUAAAAAGAAAAGUGAAAGUUAGAAGGACGAGCACAUUUGAAGUGGGGGCAAGCAUUGAACUUUGUUCAUUCCCAUGGAAACUUUGUAAAUCUUGAUUAGAAAAACUUUUCAAAACAAUAAUUAACCCCUUGUAUAAAUCCUUUUGUAUUAUGAAAGUAAUGUCCAAAGUAAAGCCUUUGGGAUGAUUUGUAUGAUGAGUAGAAUUGAUACGGCGCAAAAACACAAACUGUGACGUCCAGUGCAGAAUUUCUCUGGUUCAGUAGAGCUUCUUUUUAAGAUGAUUUUUUUACAUAGUACUGGUAUACAAAUUCUUCAAGUCUUCCUAAUUUUUAGAAUGUUUUGAGUUACACAAGUAUGGCAAUUAAGUGUAUCAUCACAGGUUGUUCUAUUUUAGACACAUUCUGUUUUUACUUGCAUAGUUUGCUUGUUUUUAUGGUGCUAUGCAUUGUAAUGGGGGGUAUAAGCCACAGAUAAGAUAGAAUAAAGUAUCUUAUGCUAAAAUAAAAUAGGAAUCCACUUAUAACAGUAUCUGAAGUAUUUGAUAUGUGGCUUAUACUAACGGAUCUCACGAAGUUUUGUUGAGUUUUAUGUGAUUGAAGUUUUAAAGUUUUGGGUGAGAGACCGAUAUGCGGGGAAUAAGGAGGAGCAAAACCCUAAGCUUGUGGAUUCCCAAGGCAUCCCCAAGAUAAUAUCCGAAGAAAACUCAAGCGUCUAAGCUUGGGGAUGCCUCGAAAGGCAUCCCCUCUUUUGUCUUCAACAGUAUCGGUAUAUCUUACUUGGAGCUAUAUUUUUAUUCAUCACAUAAUAUUCAUUUUGCUUGUAGUGUAAUUUUAUUUAUUUAUUCUCUGUUAGAUGCCAUUUAUAUUCUUGUUUUUAAUAGAAAUUUCAAGAAUUGCCUUUAAGAUUUUUAAAUUGCUUGUUUCAUAUGUGUUGUGUUAAAUCAGAAACUUAGGGUGUAGCGUUUGAUUUUUCAUAUUUUACUGGAAUGUCAAAAAAUCUGGAAGUUUUACAUAUGUAUGUUAUACAACCUGUUUACCACUUCAUAAAGUUUCCGAAUUUUCUGAGUUACAGAAAUUUUCGUUUCAUCUCCAUCUUUCCAGACUGUGUUUUUUCACAAAUUGUUGUUAUAGUUGCUUUGCAUGCUUAUGUUUUGAUUUCUUGUUGAGCCCCAUUAACUUGGGAGCCACAGAAUUAUGAUAGCAUACAAUGGUUAAUGUUAGAUUAUAAUUAUACAAUAAUGUUAUGGAAAGACAUGAUGAUAUUUGAUGUUAUAUUAACUAACCUCUUUAACAAAAAUUCUGCUAAGUUUUGUGUGAAUGAAGUGUUCGAAGAUCGAGGAGGUAUUGAUAUGCCUUGCAAGCAAUGUAACUUAGUGUAAGUUGCGGGAUCUUGUAUUACGGAACGAGUAAAGAGACUUGCCGGUAAACGAGAUUGAAAUAGGUAUACGGAUACUAACGAUCGAAUCUCGGGCAAGUAACAUACCGAAGGACAAAGGGAAUGACAUACGAGAUUAUAUGAAUCCUUGGCACUGAGGUUCAAACGAUAAGAUCUUCGUAGAAUAUGUAGGAUCCAAUAUGGGCAUCCAGGUCCCGCUAUUGGAUAUUGACCGAGGAGUCUCUCGGGUCAUGUCUACAUAGUUCUCGAACCCGCAGGGUCUGCACACUUGAGGUUCGACAUUGUUUUAUGCGUAUUUGAGUUAUAUGGUUGGUUACCGAAUGUUGUUCGGAGUCCCGUAUGAGAUCACGGACGUCACGAGGGUUUCCAGAAUGGUCCGGAAAUGAAGAUUGAUAUAUAGGAUGACCUCAUUUGAUUACCGGAAGGUUUUCGGAGUUACCGGAAUGUACCGGGAAUGACGAAUGGGUUCCGGGAGUUCACCGGGGGGGCAACCCACCCCGGGGAAGCCCAUAGGCCUUGAGGGUGGCACACCAGCCCUUAGUGGGCUGGUGGGACAGCCCAAAAGGGCUCUAUGCGCCAAGGAGAGAAAAUCAAGAGAGAGAAGAAAAAAAAAAGGAGGAGGUGGGAAGGAAGGAGGACUCCCUCCCACCAAACCAAGUCCAACUCGGUUUGGGGGGGGAGUCCUCCCCCCUUGGACUCGGCCGACCCCCUUGGGGCUCCUUGAGCCCCAAGGCAAGGUCCCCUCCCUCGCACCUAUAUAUACGGAGGUUUUAGGGUUGAUUUGAGACGACUUUCCCACGGCAGCCCGACCACAUACCUCCACGGUUUUUCCUCUAGAUCGCGUUUCUGCGGAGCUCGGGCGGAGCCCUGCUGAGACAAGGUCAUCACCAACCUCCGGAGCGCCGUCACGCUGCCGGAGAACUCUUCUACCUCUCCGUCUCUCUUGCUGGAUCAAGAAGGCCGAGAUCAUCGUCGAGCUGUACGUGUGCUGAACGCGGAGGUGCCGUCCGUUCGGUACUAGAUCGUGGGACUGAUCGCGGGAUUGUUCGCGGGGCGGAUCGAGGGACGUGAGGAUGUUCCACUACAUCAACCGCGUUCACUAACGCUUCUGCUGUACGAUCUACAAGGGUACGUAGAUCACUCAUCCCCUCUCGUAGAUGGACAUCACCAUGAUAGGUCUUCGUGCGCGUAGGAAAAUUUUGUUUCCCAUGCGACGUUCCCCAACAGUUUUAUCGUUAUAAAGGGCUUCGCGCAAGACCGCAAGAUCUGGGGAACUAAGUGACCCAGCUUUCCCAUGGCCAAUCAAACAUUUUCCCACAAAUAAUGAGAAGUACCGAAGGACGGGAAAAUGUAUGCGAGCAGCUCUAGCGCAAGACACUCCUGUCUCCUCUCCUACAGCAAUUGUAUCGAUGAAAGCUUCCAAGUCCCGUGGACGAGGUUCAUGAAUAUCCCCAACAAAAGAUAAUUUGCAAACAUUGCAAAAAUCCUGGAGUGACAUGUGUUGGGGGAUAUCUUUAAGUUUAAACUCAACCAUAGGAGGAUUCUUCCACGGAUAGAAGUUAAAGCUUUGUACGAAGAUAUUACAGAGGAGGAGGUAUUGCGGACACUUAUCUUCGACGAAGGCGGUAAGGCGUGCGUUCUCCACCAAGUGAUAAAAGUCCUCAUAAAUUCCAGCGGCGCGUAAGGACACGUCGCUUGGCCACUCGCACGCUCGAAGUUCUGCGACUCGAGGGACCAGAUACUUGGGCUUCUUCUCACUUCCAUCAUCCUUGGGGUCACGGCUUGAAGAGCCUCUUAAGAAGCUCCUCAUCUUUUCCCUUUUCUAUAUUUGAAAUUUUCUGAAAUUUUUAGUGACUCUAAGGAAAAGUGAACAAGGCUCAACAAAACUUGUAGCAACUACUCCCACAAGUGCCUAGAGGCCAUAUUACGCAUCAAAACUACUUGGGACCAGCUAAAAUUAGCAUGCAAAGCUCAAGAACAUGGUCACCAAGGCAGCAAAAAUACACGGAGUAUAAGGCACUAGAGCAAAAACUAAUUGGACCAAUGGAGGAGUCACUUACGAAGGAGUAAUUUCCCCAAAACAGUUCGGAGAAUGGUGAUUUGAGCAAAGAGAUCAAAAAUCCCAGCAAGAGGAGCAAGAACACGGGUUUGAGCUGCGAAACGAUUUUUUCUGGAGGUAGGAGAACCAGAUGAGAGCAAGAAUGAGUGGAGGGGGUGCCUGUGGGCCCCACAAGCCUGGGUGGCGCGGCCAGGGGGUGCCCGCGCGACUAGGGCUUGUGGCCCACUGGUGCAGCCCCCAGACAAGCUCUUCGUCUCAGUAUUUUUCAAAAAUUCCAGAAUAAAAAUCAUACUUGAUUUUCACGGCGUUCGGAGAACUUUUAUUUUUGGGGUACUCUUCUACCGGAUGCUAAAACAGAAAACAGGGAAUACUAAACUAAAUCUAUCAUUUUUCUUCUAAGCAACCGAAGGUGAAAGCUUGGAACGGAGGUUUGUGACUCCUCGAUUCAUCCAUCUCAUGGUCAUCGAAAGAAAUCCGUCGGUGAGGUUGAUCAAGUCUCCUCGACAAACCUUUUCGAAUCGCAAAAGAGAACGGAGAAUUUUCCAAUAGUCACUGGGUCACCUCAAUGGGGAUGUGUAUUUCCCCAACAAGCAAAUCAUACUUCAUCUUGACACGAGGAAUAGGGCAUUCAAAGCUCCCAAUAAGAACCGAUGGAGUCUUUUCGAUACCAUUGAUGCAAUGUACUCGAUAUUGUUUCUUCGGGAAGUGCACCGUAUGCUCAUUAUCGUUGACAUGGAAAGUGACAUUGCCUUUGUUGCAAUCUAUAACAGCCCCUGCAGUGUUUAAAAAGGGUCUUCCGAGGAUGACCGCCAUGGCAUCGUCCUCAGGAAUAUCCAAGAUAACAAAGUCUGUUCAGAUAGUGACAUUAGCGACCACAAUACGCACAUCCUCGCAAAUGCUGGUAGGGAAAGCAGUUGAUUUGUCGGCCAUUUGCAGAGAGAUUUCAGUGGGUGUCAACUUAUCCAGUUCAAGUCUACGAUAAAGAGAGAGAGGCAUAACACUAACACCGGCUCCAAGGUCGCAUAAAGCAGUUCUAACGUAGUUACUUUUAAUGGAGCAAGGUAUAGUGGGCACACCAGGAUCACCCAGUUUCUUAGGAGUUCCACCCUUGAAGGUAUAGUUAGCAAGCAAGGUGGAAAUCUCAACCUCAGGUAUCCUCCUCUUAUUAGUCACAAUAUCCUUCAUGUACUUAGCAUACGGAGACACUUUGAGCAUAUCUGUCAAACGCAUUUGCAGAAAGAAAUGUCUGAUCAUUUCAACGAAGCGCUCAAAAUCCUUAUCAUCCUUUUUCUUGGAUGGUUUGGGAGGAAAGGGCAUGGGUUUCUGAACCCAUGGUUCCCUUUCUUUACCAUGCUUCCUAGCAGCAAAGUCAUUCUUAUCGUAUCUUCUAUUCUUAGGCUGUGGGUUAUCAAGAUCAACAGGUUCAAUCUCCAUAUCCUUUCAUUGCUAGGUUGAGCAUCAUCAUGAACAUCACUAUUGAUAUCAUCAUUAGGCUCAUGUUCAUCACCAGAUUGUGUUUCGACAUUAGAGACAGAGACAUCGUUUGGACUCUCGGGUGUAGCAGCAACAGCGUUGCUAGUGUGCAAGUUCCUAUCAUCUUUCUUCUUCUUUCUAGGAUGACUAGGUGCAUCAGUGCUAACUCCUUGAGAAUCUUGUUCAAUUCUCUUUGGAUGACCCUUAGGAUACAAAGGUUCCUGGGUCAUUCUACCGCCUCUAGUGACGAUUCUAACGGAAUUGUCAUUCAACUCAUUGAGCAAGUCAUUUUGAGCCUUAAGUACUUGUUCUACCUGAGUAGUAAACAUAGAGGCAUGUUUGCUCGGAAGCUUAAGAUCAUUGACAUUUCUGUCCACACAAGCAGUUAAAUGACUAAGCAUACGAGCAUUCUGUUCCAAAUGUCUGCUAACAUAAUCAUUGAAACUCUAUAGUUUGGCAACAAAGUUAUCAAAUUCAUCCAGGCAUAGGCUAGCAGGUUUAUUAAAAGGAAUAUCACUCUCAUCAAACCUACGCAGAGAAUUUAGUUCUACUACCCGUAUCGGGUUAUCAAGACCAUGGAUCUCUUCGAUAGGUGGUAGAUUUUUGACAUCUUCAGAUUUAAUGCCUUUCUCUCGCAUAGAUUUCUUGGCUUCUUGCAUAUCUUCAGGACUGAGGAAUAGAAUACCUCUUUUCUUCGGAAUUGGCUUAGGAGGUGGUUCGGGAAUAGUCCAAGCAUUCUCAUUGCACAAGAUAUUAUUCAAUAGGAUCUCAGCUUGUUCUACGGUUCGUUCCCUAAAAUCACAGCCACCACAACUAUCUAGGUGGUCUUUGGAAGCAUCGGCAAGUCCAUUAUAGAAGAUAUCAAGUAUUUCAUUCUUCUCAAGAGGGUGAUCAGGCAAAGCAUUCAGCAGCUGGACGAGCCUCCCCCAAGCUUGUGGGAGACUCUCUUCUUCAGCUUGAGCAAAGUUGUAUAUUUCCUGCAAGGCAGCUUGCUUUUUAUGGGCAGGCAAAUAUUUUUCAGAGAAGUAGUAGACCAUAUCCUGGGGACUGCACACACAACGAUGAGCAAGAGAAGUGAACCAGGUCUUCGCAUCAUCUUUUAGCGAGAAAGGAAACAGCUUGAGGAUAUAGUAGUGGCGGAUCUUUUCCUCACUAGUGAAUAGGGUGACUAUAUCGUGCAGUUUGGUAAGAUGGGCUACAACCGUUUCAGACUCAUAACCGUGAAAAGGAUAAGAUUAGACAAGAGUGAUUAACUCCGGGUCGACAAAGAAUUCAUAAUCCUUAUCGGUCACAAAGAUAGGCGAAGUAGCAAACUUCGGGUCGUAUUUCAUCCUAGCGUUCAGAGAUUUUUCUUUCCACUUGCGCGGUAAUUUCUCAACAUCAUAGCUAUCCUUACACGCAAGAAAGUCCUCAGCUAUCUCUCCCUCCAUAACAUAACGUUCAGGCAUAUCAGGCAAUUCAGGCAUAUCAGGAGAGCUAGUUCUAGCAUGCAAAAUAGCAGGUUCUACUUCAAUAGCAUUAGCAAUUUCAGAAGUAUCAUCACAUCUAGCAGCAACUCUAGCAAUUUGUGCAUCAAGGUAUGCACCUAGUGGCAAAGCAAUAUCAAGCAUAGCAUCAUCAGGCAAAGCAGUAUCAAGCAUAGCAUCAUCAUAAGCAUCAUGGGCAGCAGAAGUAGCAUCAUCAAGCACAUGCGACAUAUCAAGAUUUCUAGCAGGAGGUGAUGUCGCAAACUUACUCAUAACUGAAGGUGAAUCAAGUGCAGAGCUAGAUGGCAGUUCCUUACCUGUCCUCGUAGUUGAGGGCAAGACUUUAGUUCUUGGAUCUCUCAGAUUCUUCAUGAUGACCAGUAGAUGUAAAUGCCAAGUGACUCAAAGAAUAUAGUUGUGCUUCCCCGGCAACGGCGCCAGAAAAAGGUCUUGAUAACCCACAAGUAUAGGGGAUCGCAGUAGUUUUCGAGGGUAGAGUAUUCAACCCAAAUUUAUUGAUUCGACUCAAGGGGAAGCGAAAGAAUAUUCUCAAGUAUUAGCAGUUGAGUUGUCAAUUCAACCACACCUGAAAGAUUUAGUGUCUGCAGGAAAGUAUCAGUAGCAAGGUAGUAUGAUAGCAGCAGUAGCAACAGUAACCAGUAGCAGCAAAGUAACGGCGCUAGCAAUAGAGCAACAGUAGCAGCAGUGACAGCAGUAGCGACAAAGUAACAUAGCAAGGACAAGUAGUAAAAGACUCAUAGGCAUUGGAUUGGUGAUGGAUGAUUAUGUCGGAUGUGAUUCAUGAUGUAACAGCUAUAACACGGAGAGAUAUGUAACUAGCUCCCGUUCGUCAACCUAAUGUAGGCAUGUAUUCCGUAUGUAGUCAUACGUGCUUAGGGAAUAGAACUUGCAUGACAUCUAUUGUCCAUCCCUCCCAUGGCAGCGGGGUCCUAAUGGAAACUAUGGGAUAUUAAGGUUCUCCUUUUAAUAAAGAACCGGACCAACGCAUUAACACUUGGUGAAUACAUCAACUCCUCAUACUAUGGUCAUCUCCGGGAGUGGUUCCGGCUAUUGUCACUCCGGGGUUGCCGGGUCAUAACACAUAGUAGGUGACUACAACUUGCAAGAUAGGAUCUAAAACACACAUAUAUUGGCGACAACAUAAUAGGUUCAGAUCUGAAAUCAUGACACUCGGGCCCUAGUGACAAGCAUUAAGCAUAGCCAAGUAGUAGCAACAUCAAUCUCAGAACAUAGUGGAUACUAGGGACCAAUCCCCGUCAAAACUAACUCGAUUACAUGAUAGAUCUCAUCCAACUCAUCACCAUCCAGCAAGCCUACGAUGAGAUUACUCACGAACGGUGAAGAGCAUCAUGGAAUUGGCGAUGGAGGAAGGUUGAUGAUGACGAUGGCGACGAUUUCCCCUCUCCGAAGCCCAGAACGGACUCCAGAUCUGCUCUCCAGAUGAAGAACAGGAGGUGGCGGCGCCUUCGUAUCAUAAAACGCGAUGAAUCCUUCUCUCUGAUUUUUUUUCCGGGCGAAACGGAAUAUAUAGAGCUGAGAUUGGAGGCGGUGGAGCUCUAUGGGCUCCACAAGCCUGCCAGGCGCGGCCAGGGGGGUGGCCGCGCUUGGUGGGCUUGUGGCCCACUGGAUCACCUCCUCCGGUGGAUCUUUGCGCUGGUAUUUUUCAUUAAUUCCAGAAAAAUUCUCCGUAAAUUUUUAGGUCAUUCCGAGAACUUUUAUUUCUACACAAAAAGAACACCAUGGCAAUUCUGCUGAAAACAGCGUUAGUCCGGGUUAGUUCCAUUCAAAUCAUGCAAAUUAGAGUCCAAAACAAGGGCAAAAGAGUUCGGAAAAGUAGAUACGACGGAGACGUAUCACUGCUCAAGUUUACAUAAUCAUAUUUGCAAAGUCCAUGCUCAUUAUUGCAUAAUGACCCGACCCUUGGGGGCUACACUCGCUGAAGUUUUAUGAACAUGAGACAAAUACAAAGUCCCAGGUUGUUGUAGGCAAAACAAUUCUGCACUUUGGAGCUACAACACUCAGUUGUUUCACAGGUCAUGAGGUCCAAAUUGAAGACCCGACCCAUCACACACAGAUGAGCGUGCCCUUGGGGGCUACACAUGUUGAAGCUUUAUAAAUACAAGAUGAUUACACCCAGGCUGUUGCAGGCAAGACAACCCGGCACUUGGGGGCUACAUAGUCAAAGAUAUUAUUGCAAAUCACCAAGUCAUCAUGAAGUGAUAAACUUGGAGCUUGGGGGCUACAGGUAAUAUGGAUAUAUAAAAAAAUUGAAGAUAACUUUCAAGAUGCCAAUUGUAUGAAAGAUCGGCUCAACAUCAAAUGGAUUUUUCAUCCCAAAAAUUUUAUUUAGCCGAAGCAACAGAAGGUAGUUCAACACCAUGUGGAUUUCUUAUUCCCAAAAUUUUCAUCAAGCCAAAGCAUUGGAGGCCGACUCAAUGGCAUAUGUAUUUUAUUGCAAGGGACACGAACGUGCAAGAUGAUUGUGAAGACGACUCGAAGAAACCAAGAUUUUCGAGGAGCCACUUCAUUGAAAUAAGACGGCCAAGGAGCAAGCCGGUCCCUUAAACAUAUUUAUUAUUCUUAUUUCGUGAGCUUACCAUGAAUAAAUUCAAGCUAACCUGGGGGCUAAUGUUGGGGAUAUACCCCGCAGUAUAACCCGGCUUGAAGUAUAACCUGACUUGAAGUAUGACUCGAUUGGGACUUGGCGAUUCACUGGUGACUCCGCUAGGUUUGGCGACUCAUUCGUGACCCGACACGCGGUUCGUAUAUGACCCGGGAGGCGAGUCAGACAAACUACAAGACCCAACGGCCCAGAAGGCGACUCAUGGGAGGGCCGACUCAAUAGAGAGGGCCCAAGGAAAGGAAGGACUACCUCACAAAGGAAACAAGACCCAUAUUAGGAUUUAAGAGAGACUAGUCCUAGUCCUACUCCUAGUAGGAUUCUACAUGUAAACCUACCCCUUCCACCUAUAUAAGGAGGGUUAAGGCGCCCCAAGAGGGACAAGUUCAAGUCAUUAGAGAUAGACAAAUUAGACACCCUUGAGAUUAGAGGUAGCGAUUCUGCACCCUUGUAAUCGAGACCAUCAUCUUCAUUAAUGAAACACAAGCACGACAUAGGCUUUUACCUCCAUUGGAGGGGCCAAACCUGGGUAAACUCUCACGCCGGCAGAUAGAUGUGAUGUCUCCACACCUAAGUCCUUGCACGAGGACAUAUGUCGUGAUACAAACCACGACACAGGGGAAGUCGCAAAAGGUGUUGAAGUAGAGUGACAACCACCACCUCCAAGCAGGCUGCAAAAAGCACCAAGUAAAGGCAUAUGUGUGAGACAAGAUCAAUGUACGUAAUACCGUUGAAAAACAUCGAGCAGCGAGGGAGAGGCGUAUCCAACGAAAUCAUCGUACCUAUUUUUUUUCUUUUAUUUCCUCUCUUUUUUUCUGAGACAAUUCUUUUUUUAUGGAAAUAACAAUCGGGCAAUCCAACCAAACACACUCAAAAUAAGGCCCAACUCUCGCUAGAACAUCGCAGUGAAUCAACCUCGACAGCAGCACAGGCCCUAAAUGCGACUCGAGUUGCCACAUUCACGACAACGAUUAAAGCAGCCUCGAACAAUCGACAAGGAUCGAGGGAGGCAGGCAGCGACAGACCCAUGCCCCAAGACUAACAGCAUCUCCAGUCGUGCCCCCAACAUGCCCUCCCCGACCAUUUUUUCCGCCGACGGGGGGAAAACGACCCAGUCGCGCCCCGAGGAGGCCGUUUUUCGCCGGCUCGGGCCAAAAUUGGCCCCAGCGGUCCGAGCGCGCUGGGGGCGCCCAGAGGUGCCGGCGAAAGGAAAACCGACGCGUCGAGCCCCCUGUCAGGCGAAAAAGGCAUUUUCUCCUCCGGAACCGCCCCUCGCACACCACACCUUCCGCCACCGUGUCGAUUCCGACGCCGCCCUAUCUACCUACCACCGCUACAAAGACUAUCUCCCCAUCGGCUUUGCCCCGGAUUUGCCCCCUCCCCCGGUCCCUCGCUUCUUGGUGAGUUUUCCCGACGCUCCGGGUACGUUCGCGGCCGCGCGGCCGCCACGCCCGCCAGGUGUUCGGCGAUUUAACUGGCCUAUGGACUCCGACCACGAGGAUGCAUUCACGGCGCUACUGGAGGAGGAAGCCGAUGUCGACGCCUAGGAUGAAGAGCACCUCAUGGUCCUCGCCUCUCUGACCGGCCUGUUCGCGAGCAAUGCAGAGCCACGGCGAGGUGGCUCAGCGCCGGGCCGGCUGAAGGCAAAGCAAAGGCAUCAACUCGAAGGCUAUUGCUUGCUCUAUGCCGACUACUUCGUAGACGCUCCUCUGCAAGGCGACAAGUAUUUCGGUGCCGUUAUUGUAUGAGCCAAAAGCUCUUCCUCAGGAUUGUGAAUUCCAUCAGGGAGUUCGAUAGCUACUUCAAGUGCAAAAAGGAUUGCACCACACACUUGGAUUCACCUCGCUCCAGAAGUGCACGACAGCCAUGAGGAUGCUUGCGUAUGGAUGUCCCGAUGAUAUUAUGGAAGACUAUGAACGCAUGGCCGAGUCAACCACCAUUGAGUGUCUCUACACAAUCUGCAGGGCAGUGGUGGCAGUUUUUGGACCUCAAUAUUUGUGAUCACCCAAUGCUGAAGACACUGCUCGGAUCCUAGCACAGAAUGCAGAAAGAGGAUUUCCUCGGAUGCUUGGAAGUAUUGACUACAUGCAUUGCAAAUGGAAAAACUAUCCGUUUGCUUGGCAAGGGAUAUACAAAGGUGCCAAAGGAGGUUGCAGUGUGGUACUUGAGGCAAUGGCCAUACAUGACCUCUGGAUUUGGCACUCCUUCUUUGGUAUGCCAGGAACUCAUAAUGACAUCAACGUACUACAGUGCUCGAAUGUCUUCACCAAGCUUGUUGAAUGUCAUGCUCCUUCGGUUAACUACGAGGUCAAUGGACACCACUACAACAAGGAAUACUACCUAGCAGAUGGCAUCUAUCAGAGAUGGUCCACAUUUGUGAAGAUUAUCUCAAAGCCUGGACCAGGAGGCAAGCACUCCUAUUUUGCCAAGCAUCAAGAAUCUUGUCGGAAGGAUGUCGAGUAGGGAUUUGGUGUGCUUCAAUCUUGUUUUGCUGUUGUCCGGUACCUUGCUCAGACCUGGUCGAAAUAUCAAAUGUGAGAAGUCAUGACUUGCUGUGUUGUCUGCACAACAUGGUCAUUGAGAGCGAGCAGGAGGAGCCAGCGUUUGACACCGAUCCAUAUUACAGGCAAGGUCCUCUUGCCCAAGUUGAUCACGAGCUACCCGCAACCUGGACUGCCUUCCACAAUAUGUGUCAGGAGAUCUGAGACCCACACGUGCAUCAACAACUGCAGCACAAUUUCGUGGAGCACCUAUGGAGGCUCAAGGGCAACGCCGAGCUCAAUUUUUAAUUUGUAUUGACUUGUAAAACUAUUUUUUGAUUUGUAUUGAUUUCUUUGAUGAACUAUAUGAUAAAAAAUAACUAUUGUUGUUCCAUUUGUGUUGAAAAUGCCGAAUGUGGGCCAAAAGUGGGCCAACUUUGCGCCAAAACUGGACCGAAAGCGGCGGCUGGGGUCCUUGGGUGGGCGGCUGGGGAGUCGAAUCCCCAUGCGGAUCCCCAGGCGGCGCUAUUUCGGGCCACUCGGGAGCCGAAUGGCUGGAGAUUCUCUAACGGACGGCUAGAUGGCAACGGAGGCGGACAACCAAGGAGACGGACGACCAGAUGGCGGUGAAGGCGGACAGCCGAAGGAGACGGGCGACCAGAUGGCGGCGAAUGAUGACAGCCGGAGGAGACGGCAGCCAGCACCCGAACGUGCGGAGGUUUCAGAAGCGCACAGAACUGCCCCAAUACAAGUAGCGUGUUGAUCUACAUGAUCCACGUGAUGCACGAACUAAAGCUUCCGAAGACAAUAGGAUCCGGCAUGAGGAUGAGUUGGAUUCCUGCAGCAACUCGAUCUAGCCGGGCUGCGCGAUCACGUACUAGUUGAAUCCAUCCAUGGAGACUUGGUCACGCAUGGAAGGGCGGCUGGGCACACAGCAGUUGGAGGCGAACGGGGUAGAGAAGCAGUAGCGACCGGUGAAGAUAAUGACUACGGCGAAAGGCAUGGAUCGAGAGCACGAGUUGCAACAUAAAAAACCUAAAGCUCUUGUUCUACAUGGCAGAAGAGAUUGAUUGAGACCGUGAGCUGUGGCAUGAAAAAAGACCCCUAAAGCUCUAAUACCAUGUUACGAAUAUGCAACUUGUAUUACUAGAAUACCAAAGCCACCAUAUAUAUGAUGUACAUGAAAAUGCCAAAAGGCAAGAAUAUAAAAGGCCAAAGGCCAUCAUCAAUAUACUCUAACACUUCUGACUCUACAACUUUGACAAGCCAAAGAAGGUUGCCAUGGCCUGCCUCGAGUUCGACGAGUAUGUCCUUGUAUGGUGGGAACAGAUUCAACAACUUCGACAAGAACAAUGAGAAACCCCAUUGAUACUUGGGUUGCAAUGGCAAGUCAUGAGAUUUGUGCCUACACAUUAUACUCACGGUCUCUUCAAGAAGCUCCAUGUUCUCAAGCAAGGAACAAGACAGUCGGUGAGUACUCCAAGGACAUGGAGAUUGCAAUGAUACAGGCCAAUGUUAAGGAGUCCAAUGAGCAAACAAUGGUGUGUUUUCUCAAUGGGCUCAAUCAUCGUAUCAAGAGAAUUGCGGAUUUCCAACCUUAUAGCAACUUGCUUAAGUUGGUUCAUCAAGCAAAAAAGGCGGAGUGACAAGUCCAACGGGACAUCAAGUACUCCACCUUCCCAUCAAGGAACUUCGCCAACUUUUCUCAAGUUGCCUCAAGUAUGAUGUCAUACCAAUGAGCUACACCCUUAAGUGAUGGUAUUUCAAACUCCAAGGCACUGCCGGUUGCACCAAGUGCAAAACAAUGCAAAGGACUCAAACGACAAGACAAGCCAAUGCAAAGGACUCAAACUUGCAAGAGUCGUAUCCACAAGUCAUUUGAGUGCUCCACCAAAUGCACCAUGGUAAUUAAUGAUGAAGAGUAUGACUCCAUGAGUGAAGAACUCGAAGGUUUGCAAUGAAGUUGCUCAUCACCAACAAGUCAAUCGAGCCGAAUACACAAAGAUCAUGGCCACUAAAACCCGGGCCUUCACCUGCGGACUUCCUGCAAUGCGAUCAAAUGACUGAGUGGCCCGAUGGGAAUUCCAGACUGUUCCUGCACAUUGACAUUCACACAACGGAUGGGGUAGAUCACACUCUUACGAAGUUUGACUACAAGCCGAGAAGCAUCCCCAAAUAGAGACAAAUGCUCAAUGGCAGAUGUUAGUUCCUCGGUCCUCAGCUUGAUGAACAUUGCGGCAUCGUCCAUGAAGAGUGAGGGCCUAACUACCCAUCAGUAUGGGCUCUAGAAAACGUCACUCCUCAACCUUUUUGACAAUUAGUGACACUAAUAUUACCCUUAUGUCCAAAAAAACUUGUGCCUCGGGCUCCUACUGAUUACCAUCCUAAUAGUCUAUGCAAUGUUAUCUACAAAAUCAUAGCAAAAUCCAUUGUGGAUAGGAUUAAGCAUCAUCUUCCUGAUUACAUUGAUCCUAAUAGUCUAUACACACAUUAUUAGUGACACUAAUAUUACCCUUAUUUCCAAAAGAAAACGUGUGCCUCAGGUUCCUACUGAUUACCAUCCUAAUAGUCGCAAUGUUAUCUACAAAAUCAUAGCAGAAUCCAUUUGCGGAUAGGAUUAAGCACCACCUUCCUCACUACAUUGAUCCUACUCAGCAAGCAUUCUUUAAGGGUAGGAUGAUUAGUGAUAACAUAAUCAUAGCCCAGGAGAUUACUCACUUGUUUGCACUUAGCUCUUGGAAUCAUCAUGCUUUCAUGCUCAAAAUUGAUCUUGUUACGGCUUUUGAUCAUAUUUAGUGGAAUUUCAUUGUUUCCACUCUUGCGCGUAAGGGGUUGCAUGGCCAUUUCAUUAACUUGAUUUAUGCAUGCAUAUCCUCGCCUACAUUCUCUCUCAUUAGUAAUGAUCAAAGUUCCUAGAAGUUCAAAAGCACCAGAGGAAUUAGGAAGGGUUGUUCUCUCUCUCUCUCCAUGUAUCUUUUUGUCCAUGAUAAAUUUCUUGUCAAACUCUCUGGUUACAAAGCUAAAACUUUGUCUCAUGCAGCAAGGCUAGAGCUUAUGAGAUCUGUUUUUGCUUGUACCCUAGUAUAUCAUGUCUAAUAUUAUGUUCACUAAAAAGUUCAUUGUCAAGCUUACAACUAUUAUUAGGAACUUUUGGUUAACUGGCAGUAAAAAUGACAGUGGAUCUAGGGGCCUUUGUCUUAGAUCUUGGAAGGAUUUGUGCUCUUCAAAGCAUGAAGGUGGUAUUGGCAUUAAGAACUUGGAGGUAAUGAAACGAGACUGAUUCUGACAAAAACUUAGAGACUAGCAGAUGCUCCUAACUCUCACCUACACUCGAUUCUUAAAUCUUAAUACUUUAUUGAUUCCUCCAUUUGGGUUGCAAACUCUAAUAUGCGAAAUCUACCUUUUAGGCCUCAAUACUAAACAUGAUGCCACUACUCAAAGCACUCUUUAUCACACCUCGAGCAUCAGGAUUGGGGAUUUGUGUUCAGGUUGCAGAUGACACAAGUUCCUCUUGGCUGAUGAUCUAAGCUUCCAUGGAUAUUGCUUCCUCUUCAUUGGUAGCUGAGGCAGGUGCUCUACACCUUGUCGCACUCAUUGCGGACAGGCUCAACCUUCAUGGUGAUACAUUUUUUAUUGACAACCUUUCACUCACCAAGGCUAUGGCUAUUGAUGGUAUCUUGGCAGAUUCAACUCACUAGUCCAGCAGGCAACACUAGGCAGGAUAUUUCAGCUCUGCCAAACACCUUCACUCUGUAGUGUUUCACAACCUCGUAUCCAAUUCGCAAAGUGCUUUCAUAAAGAAGAGGAUCAUCCAUGAUAACUUCAUGUAUGUUAGAAACCUUGCGCGACGUGUGCAUUGGAACAAGACCCCUUCUCUGCUAUUCAAGUUAGAUAUCCGGAAGGCCUUCGACUCGAUAAGGUGGGAUUAUAUGCUCGAGCUGCUGUGCCGUUUAGGAUUUUCAGACCGUUUUCGAGACUGGAUUGCCGCCUUGCUCUGCACCUCAUCCUCACGUGUUCUCCUCAACGGUGUUGCUGGGCCACCGAUUCUUCAUGGUUGUGGACUUAGGCAGGGCGACACCCUCUCCCCCCUGCUCUUCAUCAUCGCAAUCAUUCCGCUCCAGCACAUCCUCGACAUCGCGUCAGACCACAAGCUUCGAGGGAGACGAUCGCUUGUUCGUACCUCCCUCUAUGCGGACGACGCCGCAAUUUUCAUCACACCAACAAGGGAGGAUGUCCAUAACCUUGCUGCCAUCCUGAAGUCUUUCAGGGAGGUCACCGGUCUGUCCACCAACUUCCAAAAGAGCUCUGUCCUUCUAUAAGAUGUGGUCAUCUGAAUCUUGAUGAUAUUUUGUGUGACCUCCCUGCCAUGCGGACAUCCUUCCCGAUGAAGUACUUGGGUCUGCCACUCUCGAUUUGGGAGCUAAAAAAGGUUGACUUCCAGCACCUUGAGGAUAAGGUUGCGGCGAGAUUGCCCCUGGCAAGGGAGGAACAUCACCACCAUCGGACGGGCGGCCUUGGUCAAAUCGGUAUUGACCUCCCAAGUUGUCUACCACUGCACACCGCUUGCAAUACCCCCCCCCCGGUGUGCUGCGAAGCAUCAACAAGAUUGAGCGGGCAUUUCUUUGGUCAGCUAGCGACACAACUUCCGGGGCUAAGUGCAAGGUUAACUGGGAGACAGUUUGCCGCCCCCACGCAACUAGGCGGGCUUGGAAUUCUUCAUCUCCGGAAGUUUGAGAGAGCUCUUAGGCUAAGAUGGCCUUGGGUGGCUUCGAAGGAGUCGUCCAAGCUAUGGAUUGGUCUAGGUAACCCGUGCAACAAGGUAGACAUGAACCUUUUCUACGCUUCCAUUAUAAUCACCUUGGGCAACGGAGGAAAGACGCCUUUCUGGGACGCACCGUGGUUGGGUGGGAGAAGGCCUAAGGAUAUUGCCCCACUUAUUUUCGCGGUCUGUAGGCGGAAAAACUGGUUCAUGAGUGAGGCCAUGCGGGACAAUGUGUGGGUUCGCAAGAUAAACCCUUCCACCAACCUCUCGAUCGAACACAUUAUAGAGUUUUUGGACCUCUGUGUGCGGCUCCAAGGUGUUCAGCUUCAAUUGGACAUUGAAGACGACAUCACUUGGAAAUUUGAGGCGAAUGGGCACUGCUCUAUGGGCUCUGCUUACAGGGCGCAAUUUCUAGGUUCCAUGGCCACGAGCAUGAACAAGACCAUUUGGAAGGUUUGGGCGCCGCCCAAGGUUAAGUUUUUCUCAUGGCUGGCAAUUCAGAACAGGAUUUGGAUAGCCGACUAGCGAAGAGGGGCUGGGAGAACUGCGGCCUUUUCACCCUCUGCAGAAGGGCACACGAGACUUCAGAUCAUCUCUUCCUCAAGUGCAGGUUUACGUUACACAUCUGGCGACUGGUCAAGACUUGGCUCGGUUUGGAGACACUAGAUAUAUGCGGAUGGGGAAUGGAACACAACACCAAGUGUUGGUGAACAAGCAUUUCAAAACCAAAUACAGCGAACAGGAAGGCCAUGGCUUCGCUUACAAUGCUUGUUUGUUGGGUAAUCUGGAACGAGAGGAAUGCUAGAGUAUUCCGGAAGAAAUCGACGCCACCAUACUACGUCUUAAAGCACAUCCAAGACGAGGCCAAACUGUGGGUGACUGCGGGGGCUAUGAUGUAAGGCUGGUUGUGUUGUUCUCUAUAACUCUCCUUCUUAUUUAAUAUAUGGGGCAAGUCUUUUGCCUUUGGUUUCAAAAAACAAAACAAAAAAAUUACUCAUCAGAUUGUGAACUCUAGAGCAGAACCUGGCUUUGCAAGUACUCCCUUAGUCCCACAAUAUAAGGCCCUGUUUGUUUCAAAAGUCCCGGGACUUUUUUUAGUCCCAACUUAAAAGUCCCUAGUCCCUACCCGUUUGUUUCCAGGGACUAAACAGGGACUAGAGGUCAUUAAAUGACAUGUAAAAAGACCAUGUUACCCCUGACCAUAUUAUUAAAUAACACUUGUUCAUAAGCAAAUAUUACAAAAGCAAAGAACUCUUGUUCACAACACUUGUUCAUAAUGAAAGAUUACAGAAGCAAACAACACUUGUUCAUAAGCAAAUAUUACAGAAUCGAACAACACUUGUUCAUAACAACCGAAGUAAUAUCAUUGCUGUUUCAACGACCAUAACCCAUCAGCGACCCAAUCUCUAAAUUGAUUCAUAACAGCACUAUCCGUCUCAUUGGUUGAAUCAUUUCUUGGAGUAGUCGUUGCCAUAGACAAUGGUACAUAAUUUUCAUCUUCAUCACACAAGUCAAAAUCUAUAUCGGAUAGUUGACUUUGUCUAAUAAAAUUGUGCAAUGCAAUGCAAGCCACAAUGAUUUUGCUUUGUUUCUGUUGUGGAUAACUAGGUAAGUGAAACAAAAUCCUCCACUUGUUCUUCAAGACUCCAAAACACCUCUCAAUGACAUUUCUAAAUGAAGAAUGGCUGAAAUUGAAAUGUUAUUGUUUUCCUCUAGGCAUUUUGACAUCACGGUACUCUUGGAAAUGAUAGGUUAAACCCUUGUAUGGUGCAAGAUAACCCGGUCUGUUUGGGUAUCCCGAAUCGACAAGAUAGAACUUUUGAGGUGGUGGUUUUGGAAACUUUGCACCAAAUCUGGAUUGGGCAUCAUUGAAGACCCUCAUGUCAUGCACUGAUCCUGGCCAACCGGCUAGGACAAAUAUGAAUCUCAUAUCAAAGUCACACACACACACAUCACAUUCUGACUCAUCUCCUUAUGUCUAUUCCUAUGCUGGAUAGCAGUGGCAACUAGCACCACAACUUGUAUGUGUGUCCCAUCUAUUGCUCCAAUGCAAUUGUCCAUAAAUGGUGAAUAUUUUGUACAUCUUAGUUUUGAGUGCACAGUGUUGAAUUGAGGAUCUAUUGGCUUGAUAAUGUAUUUUGCUAGCUUGAUCAGACAUGCCAAAACUUUAUCAAACUUCCUUACAAUUGUGUCCAAUGACCUAACAAAUCUGUUUUCUGCUUGUCUUAAAGAUUGCGGGGAACCUACUAUCCACAAAAAUAGGCCUAGAGACUCAAAUGAUGACAUUUUUUUGCUGGACCUCAAACCAUAGGAAUCAACAAGCACACCAUGCAAUUUCUCAAACACUGGUCUGUGCAUUCUAAACAUGUUGUAACAGGAAGUUUUGUUGGCUAGUGUUGUCAUAACCCAAUCAUGCCCAGUCUGUAUUGGUACUCUUCUAGGUCCUUUGUUACAGUAAGAGUCAAAGUAAUACAUACCAACCAUGCAGGCCAUCUGCAGCAUUCUUCUCUUCUUUUUUUGGUGCAUCAAGAACAGCAGUGCUUCAUCAUCACUGCUGCUCUCAUCGACACUGCUGCCAUCAUCCCGAAACAUGCAAACAUUAGUACAAAUUUCUUUAUCAUGCACCACCUCUUCACCCAACAAAAAUUAUGGAACGCAUAAAAUGCAAUGAUCAUUUAAAAAGGUCGCACACUACAUGUCCAUUACAUAGUGAUAUUCGAAAAGAAAAUGCAAUGAUCAUUUAACAAGGUCGCACACUACAUGUCCAUUAAAAUGCAAACAUUAGUACAGCUUCUUCAUCAUGCACCACCUCUUCAACCAAGUCAGUCUAGCCUCAGUAGUUGAAAUGUUCUGAAAUAUGACUAUAUUUGCCUCAUCUGCAAACAGUUGAGUUGCCAUAAAGUACUCAACACUUGUUUCAUCUGCACCACAUUGAACUGCCAACAAUUGACAAUGAGUAAUAGAUUCUUUAGUGUUGUUUGAUUUCUUCUCUUUUGCCUUGUCCUUUGCUUCCUGCCUUUUGUUUGCAUAUUCAGUGAUCAUGUCAGAAGUGUUCUCACUCUUCAUAGUAUUGAUCAGCCCUGUCAUCAGUUUCAUCAUUGGGCUCUUGUGUUUCUUGCCUGGGCUUGAUGCUGACUGUUCAGCGCCGCUGCUUACCCUCUUCCUGCUGGUGGUGCUCAUUGGACUCUGCUCAUCUACAUCAUCGGCAGCAACAUACUGUUCUUCUUCCUCUUCAUCUAUGGGCACAUAAGCUGAUGAUCCAUCAACUGCCACACCUUGGAAUAGCUCUAUAAGCAUAUCCAAAUAUUCAGGAUUGCCACUCUUGAAUUUUCUAACAUCUCGUCUCUCCUGUAGCAUUAGUUAGAUAAUUAGGACAAGGCUAAAUACACAAGUGUGAGCAAUGCAACUGUAAUUUGCAGAAUAAUAUACCUUAAUUUUUUUUUGUUCCACCACUCAGUUGAUGCUGUUAUAACUCCGUCUCCAGUUCGGCCACAACCAGUUUGCUGCCCCAACCACACCCAAGCACUAUAGUAGUUUUUCAGUUUAGUUAAACAAUUUUUGAACUGCUUGGCACUAUGAAGGAGGCCAGUGCGAUGAUAAAAUUUUGUCUUCAUAUUCUUGUACGCUCUAGUUGUCCAAGUACCAUUCACACAGUGCCCAUCUCUAGCUUCCUCACAGGCAAUGUUACAAAACACAAUAACAUUCUCGUCUGUCCAAUCAGCCUUCGCAAUGUUUUUCUAAACAAAAAAGAGAUGAAUUUGCACAACUCUUUUCCUAACACGCAGAAAGCUAAAUAUGCAUUCGGAUGAAAAAUGUAUACCUCUCCCGCAGCGCCGUUGUCGUCUCCAUCUUCAAAACCUUCGCUGUCGUCUGCAUCUUCUGAAGGCACAACGGAUGAUGAUGCACGUUGCCGGCUUGCAGAGAUGGAAAAGCCCUGUCCUACGACACCUCGAAUGGAAGUUGAUGAGGCACCACGAGCUCGACCAACACCACGUCCAGUGCCCUGGAACAAGGGCCUCCCGCGCCCUCUGACGCCUCCGCCAACGGAAGCUGCGGCAGGGGCGACGAAUGGACGUCUGUGAGCGCUGCCGAUGCUCACAGACCGGGCCAGGCCUCCUCCUCCCUGAGACACAGCCCUACCACGACCAGGGCCAGCCGAAGGAGGACCAUGGACGGCCUGUUCGUCAAGGAGAAGCUGCUGGUAGGAGCCCAAAUCGGGGAAGUCAUCCACGUUGCUAUUCAGAUCAAAAAACCGAAUCCCCUUCUCAGAUUGCCGCCGGCGGAGGAGCCCUGAGAUGCCGGUUGAUGCGAGCGGAACAGAGAGGGGAGCUGCGUCUCGUCGUCUUCAUCCAUGGCGGCGGCGGCGGCCGAGGGCACUGGCUGCGGCGGCCGAGAGGACUGGCAGCGGCGGCGGCAGGGGAAGGGACGAGGGCACUGGCGGCGGCGGCUGAGGGAACUGGCGGCGACGGCCGAGGGAACUGACGGCGGCGGCGGCGGCCAAGGGAACUGGCGGCGACAGCGGCUGGUGGGAGACGCGAGCGGCUGGCAGGACGAGCGAGCGGAUAAGCUAGAGACGCGAUGCGAUGCGGGGCAGGGUAGGAAAAAGUCCCAAAAAGUCCCUCCCACAGGUACUUCUCCAAAUAGUCCCAAACACCCCACUUUAGUCCCUAAAAGUCCCUCCUGUUUGUUUCACAUGGGACUUUUUGGAACUUUUUUUAGUCCCUACAUCAAAAAGUCCCUCGAAACAGACACGCCCUAAGACGUUUUUGCUAGCUAACACGGAGGGAGUAUUAAACAAACUCACACAUCUUGGUUGUCCCUUUCUUAGUCGUUUCUGAGCUGAGAUGCCACCAGUCUGUAAUCCAUGAUGUAACUUGUAUCUGAGCCAUGUUUUAGUGAAAUUUGGUGCCUUGUGCACCUCAAUGUGUUUAGAAAAAUAAUAGCGCGUGAACAUUCAUGCCCUACGAGUGUUGCGUAACAACAUGCAUAUAAUAACAUAGCACCGUAAAUGCAAUUUUUGAAACUUCAAAAUGUUUUAAUUCUCAAACGACAUAUUCAAUAUACAAUCCAUCUUCAGUCUGCUUUGUCUCAGCAAGGGCAUCAGUACAAGAUCUCGUAUGCUAAGUUUCAAUGAAAAUUUAACUUAGGAAUUUGCCACCUAAUGAUUAAUAAAUUUUCCAUGGUAUUGGUAUUAAAGUCUCCAUGUGGCAACUUUGAUAAAAACACAACGACAACUUUGAUACGAAGACAAUGACAAUUUUCUUUAUCGUGGGCGACAACAUAUCCAUCUUAAAAGGUGUCACCCAAUAAUUAAUGAAGUUGCCGUUGUGUUGAUAUCAAAGUUGCCACAUGGUAACAAUGCCAACGUGAUGACAACUUUAGCAAGAAUACAAUGUCAAUUUUAUUUAUCGCGGGGCAGCAAUUUUAUAGUAAAAAAAAAAAAGGUUUGCUAAAACAUACACAAGUGGAAUCUAGUUCGUCCGUUCCUAAAUAUAAGUCUUUAGAAUUUCACUAGGAGACUACAUACGAAGUAAAAUGAAUGAAUCUAUAUUCUAAAAUAUGUCUAUAUACAUCAAUAUGUAGUCUUAUAGAGAAACCUCUAAGGCUGCGCUUGGAUUGGGUGUAAAAUAAUACAGAGGUAUUUUUUUACACGUGUAAUUUACCGGUCAAUGAGUAAUUUCGGGCUAGAAAUGAAACGACCGAUCGAGGCAUGUAUUUUUUACGGAGGUAUUUCACGCGCAAACGCUGAUCCAAACAGGCCCUAAAAAACAUAUUUAGGGAUGGAGGGAGUAGUUGUGAAGCCCUUUACAAUAUAGAGCCAACGGCAAAUACACAUUGUGAAUUGGGCAUAUGGCUUAGUACAGAGAACAUUUUUUGGUUUAAAAAAAGGUGAAAUUAGCUUACAUCAUCACAUGCAUGUAUCCAACCACCCCGCGUGUUGUGGUUGGGUCGCGCCAGGGACGAGCCGAGCGAACGUUCACUCAUUAUAGAAUCCGUUAAUAUACCAGAGGUGGAGCUUACCGUGACCUCUAAGGUGAAAGUGCUCUAGAUAAAUUUGUACGUGAGUCUCGCAUUCAUGUCAGAAUAAAAUCACGCUGCCAUUCAGCUUUGUAUGCAUUCUGUAUAUUUCAACGUUGUUCAAACCACAUUUCUACAUAUGUUAGUUGUACAGGUUCAGUUAGUGAGCAAGUGGAUGACCUUCGUGUGAAUCAUUUGGGACCUCUCCUUGACUGUCCAGUGGCAUGUACUGUGCCAUGAUAGCUCUAAUCUCAGAGUCCAUGUAUGACUGAAAAAAACCACAAAAUAAUAAUGUAGAAUUAGACAUGUGUCAGUAAAGCUAACGAGAAGAAACCUUGAGUUAAACAUGUUUACAGUAUCGCUGAAACUCAACAUCAUAAGAGGGAUUUGAUAAUAUCAGCUUUCAAAACUAUAAGCAUAGACUACAGCGAAACGUGGUCAUUCGUUACCCUUAUAGUUUUCUUUGCAAAUGAUGUGGGAAAACAUUAAGCACAUGAAAGCUGUCAUAUUACAUAAAAUUGCAACCACUCUUGGUACAACAACAACUAGGAUACACCAUUUUUUGUCAAGAACAAGCAAAACAGUUGCAUGUUAUUUUUCGUUAAGAUAAAAAAGUGUGAAGUGUGAAAAUUACGGAGAAUGUGGGUAUCCCACCAGCUGCAGCCCUACCCCCAAGGAGCUACAAAGACCUACUAAAUCUCCUCUCGACCUGCAUUACAACAAGCUAAUACAUCUCAUUGAUCGCAUGAUUAACCACACGAAUCACUGGAGAUGGCUUGUUGUUGAAAACACUCAUGUUGCGCUGAAGCCAAAUCCUUCUCAUCCCCACAAUAGCCCAAGCAGCAGCCUCUCUCCCUCUCAGAUCCUGGACUCUGUUGGGCAAGGAGCACCACCAUUGUCUGAUCGUGUGGCUUGAUGGUGUUGCCGAAGCCGGCCUGAGGAACUAGAACCAAAACUCCCACGUGUAGGAACAUUGGACCAAAAGAUGCUCAACUGUUUCUGGCGCCUGGUUGCAGAUAGGGCACACGAGCAGACGAGGUAGGACGCACCACUGCAAACAGUCAAGCCGUCCAGCAUCAAUUCUUAAGCACCAAGCACACGUAUAACUUUCUGUUCCCCUGUACAAUGUUUCUCCACAGGUUCCUUGUAUACGUCCACUUGCUCAAAGCCAAAGAAAAAGCCUGAUAUGCAGAGCUGGCCGAGUACUUCCUGUUGGCAGUGAGCCUCCACUCAAAGCAAUCAUCCUCAUCAGCGAGCAAAAGCAUGUCCUUGAUUUCCCUCCAUAAUUCAAAGUAUUCUACCAUCACAGCAUCGGGAGUUGUCCCCUAAUAUCAGUGAUUUACCUGUUAUUAGGCAAAGCCUCAGCCACUAAUCUUCUUGUCGCACCACAUGCUUUAACAAGGAGAACAGUGUUGGUGCAAUGUCAUGGGCACUUCGCCCAUUAAUACUGCGUGUGUGCCAAAACUGUGAUUUGUCUCCUAUGCCACCGUGCAUCGGGUAGCCGCCAAGAAGAGGGUUGUGGCCUCUUUGCUAAUGGGCACUUGCAGUCCCGAUCAUGCCCUCGGCUCCCCUGCGCAACCCAGACAGCUCCAUCUGAUCCAACCUAACUGAGGAUUGUGAAUCCCAAGUCCUCCAAACUCUGUCGGGCAUCACAUUUGGUCCAAGGCAAGCGAGCAUGCCACCAACAUUACCAUGGACACACCGCUAAGCCCAAGUGGACCCAUGACAAGGACACGUGCACGAGCCAUCCAAAUCGAGGCGACUUCACUCCUCUUUGAGCUCCAUAUACCUUGAAUGAGAGUUGGCUGCUACCUCAAAGUGGAACCCUAUGUGUGAUUAGGUUUGUUGACGACCAUCGGGGAAGCACGAGGAAGGAAGACCAAGUCCAAGACGAGGAGCGAGAAGACGAGGAAGAAGGGAUGAGCAUUCAAGACGAAGGAGUAAGCCGCGAAGCCGGAAUCGGAAGCCCGAACACUCUAAAGUUUGCCAGCUCUGGAAUCUCCAGGCCUGAUCCUAACUCCGUCUGGAAUUCGGUCAAACCCAACUGGAAAGACUGGAUAAAACCCUAGAGCCUCCAGACUCCGGUAAUUCCGGACUUCGGAAGUCUCCGGAAUCUCACUUGCAUGCAUGCACGAUUAGGGCUGCAGCCCAUGUAUACCGGCCCUUUUCGCUCCCAAACUUACCCCUUCAUACCUAGAUUAUAUUUAUAUAUACCCUUCCCCUACCCAGAUCUAGGGUUAGGAAAGGAUAUAUCUAAAACUGAGAGGCUGAUGGGACCAAGGCCAUCCUACUAGAGAAGACUCCGAGGAGUAUAAGACCUCCCUACUGGAGAUACAAGUGGAUGUUGGUUGUGAACAUUAUUAUGAGUGAUUUCUCUUGUGUUCUUGUUUCUCCUUGUUCUUCGUCUUCCCCACCAAAUUCACCUCGAAUUCGUGAAGAUCGAGCCGCCCCUACGGUUGCAAUGAUUUGGACCCCCCCCCCUCAUAUUUCUAGCCAUGUUUUGAUUUUGUUCUUAGCAAUUUUGAAAAUCCCCAACAAAAAUGCCAACCCCAAUGUUGAGCUAACUGUGGUUUUGAGUGAGUUUUGGUCGGAUUUGAUCCACUUAUCCGGUGUUUUGCAAGUUGGUCUAGCCUCAAUUGCAUCCUUUUGGUCAAAAUAUUUCUUUUCCCCAUCAAUUUUCUUCUCCAAAAUCAAUUUCAUCCACCCCGAUUCACUCUUGGAACAAAGCACGCGGAGACUGGAGUAGUCUACCAUGAGACAAAAUAUCCUCUUUCUAAAGAUAAUUUAUUCGGAACUCUUAUAUGUCCAAGGUCAAUAUGAAAAUUUCUAUGAGGUUUUCCCUUGGCCAAGUGGUAAGGCGGCGGGUUUUGGUCCUGUUACUCGAAGGUUCGAAUCCUUUCGUCCAGCUCCUUUGAAAAUGGUAAGACAUUUGGCGCGACGGAAUCAAAAAGGCAUAUCUGGUAGAAUUGUAACCAUAGAAUAAGACCCUAAUUGAAAGGCAUAUCUACUUGUUGGCUUUUGAUCGCUGGAUCAAAUCUCCCAGAGCUACGACGUGAGUGUACUUGCAAACUAGCAAGCACACAAGCAGCUGCAUGGAUUCCAGUUGCACUUCUUGCGCACAUCAGUAGCAUGGGCAAGCUAGCAGGACCGAUUCGAUCGAUCGUCGUCGGUGGACCGUAACUUGGCAAACAAAAGAAACAGAACGGAGGAAAUAUUUGGUGAUUGCCAAAGGCUCUUGACGUGCCUUGUUUGCUUUAUUGCUUGUCUGUAUUCUGGUUGUAUUACAAGGUUGGGGUACAUGCAUAUAUAUAUAUAUAUGCAUACGAUGUACUACUAGUUGUCCGACUCGGCGUACUACACGUCUACAGCUAAUACUACUGCCUAUUAGUUGGAGUACUACUCGGACUAGUAAGAUCGUGUUUAACUCUAAUAUUCACCCCCUUAAACACGACAUCCUCAAUGCGACCUUGAUCCCAAACACGAUUGAUGUUUCUCAUAAUUGUUACCAUCAGCACUGUCUUCGUCAUUCCUUGCAGCAUUUCAGGGAUCGCAUUCGUUGUCGUCGGCUUGACAAAUGCUUGACGCCAACUCUCCUCAUUGGUCGCAUCUUCAACCUUCACCUGUUCUUCGGUGCUUCGCAGACUGUCCUUCGGAUCUUCGAGGGCACAUCUUUUGAAUCCGAGCGUGACCAAACUUCGGUCUAACUUUAAAUCCCAAGCUCUUGGCGCUUGUUUCAUCCCAUAAAGUGCCUUCUUGAGCUUGUAAACUUUUUCUUCUUUGCCUUUCUUCUCAUAGCCGAGGGGUUGCUCCACGUACAUUUCUUCUGUGAGAUCACCGUUGAGGAAAGCGGAUUUAACAUCCAUAUGAUGAACCUUCCAAUCCUCUUGUGCUGCCAAAGCUAGGAGCACUCUCACCGUCUCGAGUCGAGCAACCGGUGCAAACACCUCAUCAUAGUCAACUCCUUGACGUUGUAUGUAGCCCUUUGCAACGAGUCUUGCCUUGUACUUCACAAUGGCACCCUCCGUGUCCUUUUUUAACUUGUAAUCCCACUUCAAACCUAUCGCCUUUUGGUUUGGAGGUCGAGUUACCAAAGUCCACGUGACAUUGCUCUCAAUCGCCUUCAUCUCCACAUUUAUGGCGUGCGUCCAAUUAUGACUUUUGCUCGCCUAUACGAAGUUCGCCGGCUCCUCAACUCCGAGCAGACAUAGUCCGGAGUACUCGAGCGUAACUGGCUUUGUGUAGUUGUAGACUUUCUUGAGCAUCUUGUAGCGCCGAGGCCCUAAGGAGCCCGUUGUGUCUUGCAAAGGAGGCGACACAAAUUGUGUCGGUGUUGAUGCACUUGAGGAAGACGGCUGAGUCUCGGGUGUGUCAUCUACAUUCGCGUCAUCGACGUAGUCGUCGUGACCGUGACCAUCAUGUUGAUUAUCGUCGUGACUAUGCGCCUCGUUGUCGAUGUUGUGGUCGAGAUCUCUGCCCGUGACGUGCACGUCGUUGUUGAUGGAUAAGUCUCUGUACUCAGGCGCUCUGGCUCGCUCGACUGCUUGGUGAUCUCCUCGUCCGAGACACCAGAACGGUGCAGCUCCUGGUGGACAACAAGUCCGCCCUGGCCCUGGCAAAGAACCCUGUUUUCCAUGAAAGGGGCAAGCACAUUCGACUGAGGUACCACUUCAUCCGAAGCUGUUUGGAUGAAGGGAGCAUCGAGGCGAGCUACAUCAACACCACGGACCAGCUCGCAGAGCUGCUCACCAAGCCUCUUGGGNAGGCUGAAAGGUCUAACAAGUGGUAUCAGAGCCAGGUUAUCUUGUACCGUGAGCAUUUCCUGCUAACCUCUCUCACCGGGAGCUGGGCAGCCUAAGCCGUUAGCAGCAGCUGCUCCGACUGCCCCUGGUUACCUCCCUCCCUCCGGACUGUCGAGCAACAACUCGUCAGAAACAACCUC